rnacentral:rRNA from 1 species
UUGCUCCCUGAUGUUAGCGGCGGACGGGUGAGUAACACGUGGGUAACCUGCCUGUAAGACUGGGAUAACUCCGGGAAACCGGGGCUAAUACCGGAUGGUUGUCUGAACCGCAUGGUUCAGACAUAAAAGGUGGCUUCGGCUACCACUUACAGAUGGACCCGCGGCGCAUUAGCUAGUUGGUGAGGUAACGGCUCACCAAGGCGACGAUGCGUAGCCGACCUGAGAGGGUGAUCGGCCACACUGGGACUGAGACACGGCCCAGACUCCUACGGGAGGCAGCAGUAGGGAAUCUUCCGCAAUGGACGAAAGUCUGACGGAGCAACGCCGCGUGAGUGAUGAAGGUUUUCGGAUCGUAAAGCUCUGUUGUUAGGGAAGAACAAGUGCCGUUCAAAUAGGGCGGCACCUUGACGGUACCUAACCAGAAAGCCACGGCUAACUACGUGCCAGCAGCCGCGGUAAUACGUAGGUGGCAAGCGUUGUCCGGAAUUAUUGGGCGUAAAGGGCUCGCAGGCGGUUUCUUAAGUCUGAUGUGAAAGCCCCCGGCUCAACCGGGGAGGGUCAUUGGAAACUGGGGAACUUGAGUGCAGAAGAGGAGAGUGGAAUUCCACGUGUAGCGGUGAAAUGCGUAGAGAUGUGGAGGAACACCAGUGGCGAAGGCGACUCUCUGGUCUGUAACUGACGCUGAGGAGCGAAAGCGUGGGGAGCGAACAGGAUUAGAUACCCUGGUAGUCCACGCCGUAAACGAUGAGUGCUAAGUGUUAGGGGGUUUCCGCCCCUUAGUGCUGCAGCUAACGCAUUAAGCACUCCGCCUGGGGAGUACGGUCGCAAGACUGAAACU